UCAAAGAAAAUUACACUUCUUCCUCACCGCCCUCACUGCCCUCCUCCCCAUCUCUUCCACCAUCUCUGUCCUUCCCUCCCUCUCCACCACCUCCUCCACCCCACAUCCCUCGCCAACCCUCUAAACCUCCAUCCACUCCAUCAUCAAGUAUAUAUAAACACCUCCCCCUUCUCCUCAUCUUUCUCAUCGAGAAACCAUCAAAGUCUCUAUGAAACCCUAGAAUGCUCUUUGCAUUCAUUCUUUGUCGUGAAUGGCUAACAUGCAAAUGGCCGUGGUCUAGACCAUCGAGUUCCAAGCCGAGAUCAACCAGCUCCUCAGCCUCAUCAUCAACACAUUCUACUCCAACAAGGAGAUCUUCUUGCGAGAGCUCAUUAGCAAUUCAUCGGAUGCUUUGGACAAUAUUCGGUAUGAGAGUUUGACAAAUAAGAGCAUUCUUGAUGCGCAUCUGGAGUUGUUCAUCAGGCUUGUGCCGGAUAAGGUUAACAAGACGCUGUCCAUCAUCGAUAGUGGCAUUGGCAUGACUAAGGCUGGAACAAAAGAUUGCUGAAGUUGGUAAUUCAAUUUGGCUGAAAGCUUGUUAUGUGCUGACAAAAUUAGAUGCCAUGGUUACUGCUUUUAGGAGAUGCAUAAUAAAACAUGCAGACAGUCAAAUCCAUUGGUUUGUUAUAAAAGCAUCUCUGUUAUAUUUGAAUUUUUUAAUCUUCGGGUUGUGCAUUGACAUUACAUAAAGUUGUUUACUACCGACAUGCUAAGAAUGUUUGUGCAUUGUGUAUUGAUGUAAAAUAUUGAAUAAUCUUUGAUGUUGAUUCUUUUGCAAGUU